AAACUACUUGAUAUAUGUUUAUGAUUUAAUCUGCGUUUUGAGUGAUGCAGGAUGCUUCGAUCUGGAUGAGAUAAUUAAAGCAGGAAAAUCAUGUUGUGCUGGAGGAACAUGUCAGAAGAUUGGACGUCGGGCCGGUGGAUCGGUCGACGUAUCGACAGAAGGCUUCGGGUCGUGGACUCGGGCAUCGGGCCAAGAAGAGCGGGUAUUGUGCCAAGGAUAUCGGAGUUGCGGAGUCAACAGGCCGAUUGGGCA
rnacentral:lncRNA from 1 species